UAUGGAGCUCCGCCCACUUGUCUGCAGUAGCUUUUGAAAUGUGAGAAGGUGGGAUAGAAGACUCAUUAAAAGGCCAGAGACACCAGCCAUUAGGUGGCUCUGCAUUCAUUACUGUUGACCAUUAACAGCAUUGUGUCAUAACGUCCUCGUCCAACCCACCAUCCUCCCCAUCUUUGCCUCUCCCAUGUUAUUUGGCUCCAUUCAAGCCUGCGUCUUCAUCUCCACCACCAACGCCUGGACUCCACGGGGUCCUGUCCUAAUCUCUAUCACUGCUGGACCUUCAGGUCAAGGUCACCAGUUUUCUUCCUGAUUCAUGCUUUGACUUGACCAAGAGUAACCCAGCAAAAUCAAGAAAUCUCCAAAAGGUUCAUCGCAUUCGGUAAAGAUUUUGGUGCUGUCUUCAUGAUCUGAUGAAAUGCAGCUAACCUGCAGUCCACCCAGCAAAGGCAGGAAAAACCUCUCUGGUGAAACCUGCCACCGCCCUCAUCGGACUGCCAGCCUGAAGGCAUUUCUCACCACCUGUCAGGUAAGGAUUAAACAAAGCAGAACUAUCGACACCUGAGGCUCUCUAACGCUCGCUAACAAUUCACCUUCUUACACAAAACCCCAAGAAAAACAGACAAGUGUGGAUCUAGUUAGCAGUGAGCAUCGUGCACUUUUUUUAAAAAUCAUUAAUUCUUGGUGAACUUCAUUAAAUCCAGACAGCAGAGAUAAUUAAAUGGGUACUUGUCUAGUUGGUGUUUGUGCCCCUGAUUAAUAUUAUAUAUUCUUAAAUUUAAUCUUCUCAGUGGGACUUGAUUGAUCACAGAUUGUCAAAGGAUUGACAGUAGGAUGAUGUGAAGGUGAUCUGAGUGAUACUUGUUUGUUAACUUUGUCCCAGAUGAAGUUUAUUUCAUCACGUCAGUCUAACUACUUUGUGUAGAAACAUUUUGUCAGCGGCUAAUUACGACUUCCUCUUUGCUGUGUAGUUUUAAUUAUGUCUGGCAUAUGUUGUUGAAAUUGGCAAAGGUGAAAUGACAUUUUAAUGACUUUUGUUCAAAUGUUGCUGCAGUUCGGUGCUUUUAGAAAGGUUACGUGACUCGACUCAAAGGUUUGUGCUGCUUAGAAGCCCAAAAGGAAAGCAGAUAAGGAAAACAGAAAUUCUGACUCUGUUAUCACAUAACAGAGCCUCUUCUUACUAAAGGGUGACCUGACUACUUUUGUACAUCAUAUCUACAUUAGUAGAGACAAACUUCUUUUUUUUUUUUUUGUAUAGAACAGUCAAAGUAUAUUUUCUUCACUUCCUUCCAGGUAACUUUUAACCUUAAACCUUAUUGAUGGACCCACUCGAUACAGACUCUGAACAAUAUUGAGCUGCAGAGCAUUAUAAAGUCACAAAAGUUUGUCUUGAAUCUUCCUAAUAGUUCAAGAAAUCUGUCAAUUGGUCUUUUUUUUUUUUUUUUGUCUGUUUGUUUCAGACUUAGCCAGUGUAUUGCUCGGUGCAGGAGUAAGUGUAGUGCUCAGUCAAAGUGUUUCCCGUGACUGCUGGGCACUACCUGCUCAAUGCUGGGUGUGGGGGAAAGGAUGCACAGUCUUUGUAAGGAUCAUAACUGACAUUAUUUGUAUUUCAGUGCUACAGCUGUACUCUACUGAAACCCAAUUCAGAUGCUAAAAUAAAGUUGUAACCAUGUAACAGAUCUGGGAGGGAAACAAAUGUGGAUUGAAAAAAUAUGUGAGGGCUGGACAAAACGCUCUGCAAUUUGUGUGGUUUGAAAACAAGAUUCUUAAUUUGUCCAACAAAUUAUGGAAUAACAAAGACAUAGUUUUUGUAUUUUUGUCUCAACACAACACCAUGCUGGACUUUAAAUCAGUCAUCAUGGCUGUGAAAAGCAGACUCAGCUUUAAUUCGAGGGGUUUAAUAAAAAUUUUGCAGAAAGCCUUUAGGAAUAACAACCAUUUUCAUACACAAUCUCCCACUUUUUUUUUUUUUUGAGUCUGAAAAUUAAUUGGACAGUUGAUAUCAAGCAGUUUCAUGGUCAGGUGGCCCUGUUCCCUUAUUUCAUGAUGACAAAAAAAAUACAAAAGUUCAAAUUACAAAAAAGAGUUUUGUUCUUAUGAAAACUCUAACUCUUGUGACUCUUCUUUAAACACUAACCACAAAAAAAAAACACAGAUCAUACUCCCUGCACAAGUGAUACUGUAAAAGGUACCAAAAAAACAUUUUCUAUCCAUCUCCUUACUGGUGAUCCAGAUUAGGCACCAGCCCAUGCAUCCACCUAACAUAAAGUGAGAGGUAAGCUACACUUUGGACAGCUCGCCAGGCCAUCACAGGGCAAGAAAGCUCACAUCAACCUAUGUCCAAUUUUGAAUGGCCAAUUAACCAAAUGAGUCUGUCUUUGAAAUGUGGGAGGAAACCAGAGUAGCUUGAGGAAACUCCCACAGGCACAGGGACAACAUGUAAUCUCCAGAAAGACUCCAGACAGGUUUGAACCCAGGACUUUUUGCUAUGAAGAGGCCAUACUAACCUGCCUACCAUGCUGUCUCCAAUAGUGAACUUUGGGUUAUGUAUUUAUUCUGUGUGAAUAAAACACUUGUACCAUUUGUCCCAUGAUGGACUGUCAGCCUGUUGAGUUUAUACCCUGCCAUUUGCCCAGUGUUAGCCGGGAUUGGUUUCAGCCCUUCUUAGCGCGAGUUAAAUACUUAAGAAAAAACAAUGAUUUUGUUGCUUCACUGAAGAGCUGAAUUAUAAAAGAAAAACACAAAAAACAUCUAGAUAAUACAAGAUUGGGUGGAAUGAGCCACUAUUUUCCACAGUUAAAUCUACUUAUAGCAAAAUGUAAGAAAUUAAAAUUGAUUUCAAAAGAAACCCCGACUACGAGAAAUAUAAUCCAUAGAAAUGCACACAACAUCACCACAAAUGGUUCAAGAUGUGAAUAUUUGAGUAGCCUUGUAAGGACGUGUGGCAGAGCAAAGAGUGGACCCUAAUAGGAAAUGGCGGUUAUGGAACAAAAGAGUAAAUGUAAUGUGUUCUACUAAUGGUUAAAAACCUCGAAAUGAAAGCAAGUAGCUGGCUGUUCGGGCGGUAAAUGCACAUUUACAGCAUGUGUUAUGGUAUUGAGACAUAAGAAGGAUCCAUAAUGUUCAUAUCUUUUUAUUCACAAAUGUAAACUAAAUGACGAGUUAGUCAGAAUGAAUGCUACAAAAAAAAGAACUUUAAGGAAGGCCUUUAAAUUUAACCCAGGUCACUCGUUGUCAAAGAUGUGAUGGAGAAACUGUCCUUAUUUGAGGCCUGGAAAAUUCAAUGAACUUUUCUUUGCAUCACUGGUAUUUGAUAGAAAUAUGUAAAUUCAGAAAGUGUGUGUUCAGAGUUUACAGGUUUUCUCAAUCACUUUGGUGCAGUUCUCACAUCAGGUAUAUCAUUCCCAUCACUCUUAAUGCAGUUCUCAAAACAGUUGAGGCAUUUUUAUACUCCAGACUCACCUGUGCAAAAGACACUGUAACAAUCAAACUUUUUUGAUGAGUGUUAAAACAUGAAUAGUCAAUCAUUUCAACUCUCUGAUAAAUGAUUAAAAACA